rnacentral:ncRNA from 1 species
UUCUAAAUCAUUGCUUUGCAUGUCAAAGUGAAGAAAUUCAACCAAGCGCGAGUAAAUAGCGAGAGUAACUAUGACUCUCUUAAGGUAGUUAGAUGCCUCGUCAUCUAAUUAGUGACGCACAUGAACAGAU